rnacentral:rRNA from 1 species
AUUGAACGCUGGCGGCAGGCCUAACACAUGCAAGUCGAACGAGUGGCGGACGGGUGAGUAAUGUCUGGGAAACUGCCUGAUGGAGGGGGAUAACUACUGGAAACGGUAGCUAAUACCGCAUACCAUCAGAUGUGCCCAGAUGGGAUUAGCUAGGGGGUGGGGUAACGGCUCACCAAGGCGACGCUCCCUAGCUGGUCUGAGAGGAUGAACAGCCACACUGGAACUGAACAACGGUCAGGACUACUACGGGAGGCAGCAGUGGGGAAUAUUGCGCAAUGGUCGCAAGCCUGAUGCAGCAAUGCCGAGUGUAUGAAGAAGGCCUUCGGGUUGUAAAGUACUUUCAGCGGGGAGGCGUUACCCGCAGAAGAAGCACCGGCUAACUCCGUGCCAGCAGCCGCGGUAAUUC